rnacentral:rRNA from 1 species
AGCAGCCGCGGUAAUUCCAGCUCCAAUAGCGUAUAUUAAUGUUGUUGCAGUUAAAAAGCUCGUAGUUGAAUUUCGAGAUCGGCUUACUGGUCGUGCUUUUGUACGUACUGGUAAAUCGGUUUCUCCUUUCUGACGAACUUUAAUGCCAUUAAUUUGGUGUUUUAGGGAAUCAGGACUGUUACUUUGAAAAAAUUAGAGUGUUUAAAGCAGGCUCACGCUUGAAUACAUUAGCAUGGAAUAACGGAAUAGGACGUUUGAUUCUAUUUUGUUGGUUUCUAGGAUCGACGUAAUGAUUAAUAGGGAUAGUUGGGGGCAUUAGUAUUCAAUUGUCAGAGGUGAAAUUCUUGGAUUUAU